CACCCACACAGAAACGCAAAGUGAAAAAUACUGUUUGAGUACUAGUUAUAGCAUUAAAUUACAAUGUACAGCACAUUAAGGAUAGAGAUCCUACAUGAGGAGUAAGUGCACAGUGACUCCUGUUGUUGACUUAACAAAUUGACACUCUUGUUUAUGGCAUCAGUAAUCACCCUAGGCUCUUGUCAUGAGCUGCCAAGGCUAUGGAAGUCCUUUGAGUUCACCGGCUCUGAUCACUUUAAGAAAAAGAAUAUAAAAAAAUCUUACUUUUGCAAGUAUUACAACUAAAUGAACAAAAGGCUUUGCAGCCUCACAGUAAAACCCGACAAGGUGUCUUGUUGAAGAUUAGAUAUGAGAUUCUGUCCUUAGUGCAGUACUAUGACCAUGGAAAAGCAGAAGGAUGGCAUAUGGCAUUUGUAAAGAAGCGGGGAUCUAUUGUAAAAUUCAUAUGCUGAGGGAGAAUUGUUCCUGGCAGAAGACAUGGUACCACCAUCAUUAAUGCAUGUGCAUUUGAUGGUUUUCUUCCUGGUAUUUCAUAAUUGAGAUAUAAUUUCUCAUAUACAGCUUUGUGUAUUGCUGCUCAGAUAUCUCCUUUUAUUACUAAAAGAAGCCAUCUUUGAAAUCACUGUCAAAAGUUAGUAUAACUGGGAUCUAAAACAAGGAAGGUCAUUGGUUAAUAUGGAAAUUACAUGCACAUAUUUCACAUGAAAAUUCCCCUUUUCCACUUUUUUUUUAUAAUAACAAUUCACUUGAGUUCUGCCUCUUCUUGUACACUGUUUAUAUUUUGUGGUCUAUUGCAUGUAAUGAAUCAUACCAAAACAGAAUUCACUUUCAUUUCCUCUCUCACAAUUCUGUGCAAUGACUGAGCUCAGUUAACUGGUAUUUGCUUGGGGGCCUCUCAUGAGGGAGGAGCAGAUGUCUGGGCUAGAGUUAAAUUGGGGCUCCCCUAGUAUAAGCUCAAAUCACUAGGUUUAGGAAUGACAAAUAUUUUUCUUCAUCUUCCAUCCCUCCAUUCAUGACUGACCUCCCUUCUAGGAGAGUGAGUAUAUCUCAUUCCAUUCUCAAUGCCCUGCUAAUGAAGUUAAACUAUUAGGAAUAUAUGUUUGGUUAAACCAGGGAAAACAGAGAUACUUUAAGCACAAUAGCUUAGAGCACUGCUAAAAGUUUUGUUUUCUAGAUUCUUCAUGGGAGGAAGAAUAUCAGAAAAGAUCAAUAUUUUCAUCUUUUCCUUUAAAAACUGGUUCUGCUCCAAAUUCAUCAAUGAGGUGUGUGUUGUGGAGAAGGGAGAUUUGAUAGUUUCAAAUAGCUAACAUUCUGGACCAGAGACAGAGUAAGAUCAACUUGGAUUGUUUGAAGAUGACAGAGAAAACCAUAGAUCUGAACCUGGAGUCCACAGAUUUCAACCCCUUGGUCUAUAUAUGGUCUUUUCUCUUGUACAAAAUUUAAAUAUUUAAUUGAAAAAUAUAAACGUACAUAUUCAGGGUGUACAAUGUGAUGAGUUUAUAUAUAUGUACACUACUGAUUACCAAAGUCAAAUUAAUCAGCACAUCUGUCACCAUCCAUAGUUACCAUUGGUCUGUGUGUGUGGGGAGAGAGAGGAAAGGACCCUUAAAUAGGUUCUCAUCAAAUUUCAAGUGAACAACAUAAUAUUAUUAACUACUAUUACCCUAUCACAGAUUAUAUUCCCAGAACUUACUCAUUUUAUAACCGAACUGUGGGGAGCAGGGUCCGUCUCCCGCAAUAUGGCGGGGUGCCCGGGAGACAAAUAAGUACUGAGACUGUGGACUGAAACUAACUCUAUGCGUCUGAUCUCCCACCAUAUAGCGCUAAGAGAGAGUAAGCAAAUCUUACACAGCUGCUUCGUCA
ensembl:lncRNA